rnacentral:rRNA from 1 species
GUCCACGCUGUAAACGAUGGGGACUAGGUGUUGCGGGUGUUGACCCCCGCAGUGCCGCAGCUAACGCAUUAAGUCCCCCGCCUGGGGAGUACGGUCGCAAGACUAAAACUCAAAGGAAUUGACGGGGGCCCGCACAAGCGGUGGAGCAUGUGGUUCAAUUCGACGCAACGCGCAGAACCUUACCUGGGCUUGACAUCCUCGGAAUCUGCCAGAGAUGGUGGAGUGCUCGCAAGAGAGCCGAGAGACAGGUGCUGCAUGGCUGUCGU